GCUGCCAGUUGCCAACGGGUGAAGCCGGGCACUCUGGCGGGACGUGCCAUCGACAAGAUGGAGGAAGGUGGGGAGUGACGUCAAGUCAUCAUGGCCCUUAUGUCCAGGGCGACACACGUGCUACAAUGGCCGGCACAGCGGGAAGCGAGGCAGUGAUGCCGAGCGGAUCCCUUAAAGCCGGUCUCAGUUCGGAUUGAAGUCUGCAACUCGACUUCAUGAAGCUGGAAUCGCUAGUAAUCGCAGAUCAGCCAAGCUGCGGUGAAUACGUUCCCGGGCCUU
rnacentral:rRNA from 1 species